rnacentral:lncRNA from 1 species
GUAUGAGGGGGAGGACAGGGGGUACCCUUCUCCCUUCUCCCACCCCUCUUCUCCUUUCUCCUACCCCCGUUCUCCUUUCUCCCAUUAGAAUAAAACAUCUCCUUUUGAGAUAUUUUUUCUUAAAAUAUUAGAUCAUUUUUUAAAAGGAGAGAUAUUUUAUUUUUUCUCCUUUCUCCCAGCCUUCCUCUCCUUUCUCCUACCCCUUUUCUCCUUUCUCCCACCCCUUUCUCCUUUCUCCUACCCCCUUUCUCCCUGUCUCCCUUACCCCUGUCCUCCCCC